rnacentral:rRNA from 1 species
GGAUUAGAUACCCUGGUAGUCCACGCCGUAAACGAUGAGUGCUAGAUGUCGGGAUUUAUCUCGGUGUCGGAGCUAACGUUUUAAGCACUCCGCCUGGGGAGUACGGUCGCAAGAUUAGAACUCAAAGGAAUUGACGGGGGCCCGCACAAGUGGUGGAGCAUGCGGUUUAAUUCGACGCAACGCGCAGAACCUUACCAACCCUUGACAUAGAAAUUAAGGUGAUUAGAGAUAGUCACUGUCAGUUCGGCUGGAUUUCAUACAGGUGUUGCAUGGCUGUCGUCAGCUCGUGCCG